UAGUGCCCUCCCUCCAUGCUGACUCAACAGCUUCUGGCUUCCCUGCCUGGCUCUCCAGUGGAGCCACUGGACGACGCAGAAUUUAGAUAAUCGGAAUUGAAAAUAUAUCCACUUAAUUCUUCCUCCUUGGGAAGCAAAACCUGUCAUAUACAUUCCCAAACUGUGAGCUAAUGUCGAUCCCUGAGUGACUGUGAGCCUGGAGUGGAGAUUGUCGUUGACCCCGCUGACUGCAUCGUGAUUUAAUAGAGCCAGGAGGCUCAUGGGUCUUCUCAGGAUGAGUAGUUCUUCCUGUUCUGUGCCUUGACAGCAGAAUGGGAAGAGAAUGGGAUGAGAAGGUUAUUCUGUGGCUCCUGAGUUGCUGUGUGGUAUCAGGGAAAACUUCACAUUUGGGGUGGGAGAAAUGGCUCAGAGGUUAAGAGUGCAUACCGUUCCUGCAGAGGACCUGAGUUCAAUUCUCAGCAUCACCUGGGU
rnacentral:lncRNA from 1 species